rnacentral:lncRNA from 1 species
CGGGUCCCUGCGGCGGCACCGGCCUCAGCAGCGGCAGGGAGCGGAGCCGGCUGGCGGCGCCUCUCUCCAGCGGGCAGUGGGCGCCAGCUCCCUGCCAAAUCUGAAGGCAACAGGCACAAAGGGAGAAGACUGAAAACGGGACACGCCAGAGACGAAUCAUUGGAGCUCAACUUCUCUGCUGCUAAGCUGUUCCGUGGAACUGUUCACACGGAAAGUCGGAGGGAGAAUGGUACAUAUGAAGCAAUUCGAGAAAUGAGAACCUAUGCCAUAUUUUUCAACAUAAAUGGCAAACCUUGCAAUAUGAAUGGAAAGCAAAUGAAAUGCAAAGAAGGAAAGACAGAAAAACAGCUGACCCUGUCACUGAAGGCAGAAUAAGGCCACUUGGUGUGUCUGACUCUUUUUUUUAAUAUCACUUCAAUCCAAUUGCUCAAAGAAUGUGAAAUAAUGAACAUAUUAGCAAGUAUAAUGUUGAUUGGUGCCCAUCAUAAAAUGAAAAUGGUCGAUUCUUGAUCUGAUUUAACAUCCAUUAAGAAGAGUCAAACUGUUGCUGAAAUAAUAUCGUAUCAAGUAGUGUUUCAGGUUGGCCAUCCCAGAAAUGAAACUGAACCUGUUCAAUAAGAUACAGGAUAGUGUGUUCUUAAAAUCUGUCCAGUAAAUCUUUCUCUCAGGAAAGGUAAGGGAAAAAAAAUCACAGUGGAAAUAUAAAUGUAAUGUAACAAGUCAAUCAGAACAUUUCUUCGCAUAACACCUCAUCUGUUCACAAAAGUAAUUUCAUGUUUUUCGGUGAAAUUUCAAAUAACUGCACUCUGAACUUAUCUGCAAUUAAUUUAUCUGAUGGAUUAAUAGAAAAGAAAAAUAUAGUAAGAAAU